rnacentral:lncRNA from 1 species
UUUUGUUUGAUUUUUGGGGUGGUUUUGUUUGAUUAUUUUUGGGGGGGUUUGUUUGAUUUUUUUGGAGGGAUUUCGUUUGAUUUUUGGGGGCUCCUAGGAGAUUUUGGGGUGCCCCAUGGUGGAUUUUGGAGGUACACUGUAAAUCAAGAGGCUGCGAGGCGUCGUCCGAGGAGUUUAUUGGGGUUUGUUCCAUUUUUGGGGGGUUUGUUUCAUUUCUGGGGGGCUCCCAGCAGAUUUGGGGAGUCCAGGUGGUUUUGGAGAUGCCCAGGUGGAUCUGGAGGCGCUCCCAGCAGAGCUUCCCCUGCCCAGGGUCCAUUCCAGCAGCUCCGGGUGCUCCCACAGCCGAUCCCUCGCAGACUUCGGGGUCCCCCUUGCAGAUCUUUGGCUCCCCCGAUCUCUGGGGGUCCCGGGCAGGUCUGGGGUCCCCCAGCAGCCCCGGGGCUCCCUAGAAGCCCCUCUGGAGCAGCCACUGCCGCACCUGGGGCGCCCAGUGCCCGCGCAGCCGCAGCGUCCCCGUCACCUCGUUCACCUGCGCCGCCACCUCGGGGACCCCCAGGGACCCCAGGAACGCCCCCAGGUCCCGCUGCAGCGCCUGGGGGGGCACGGGGGGGUCAGGGGGAGCCCCGGAGCCCCCCCGGAGCCCCCCGAGCCCCCCACUCACCCAGAUGUCGCCGUGGAUGCGGCGCAGCUCCGUCAGGCGCCGGCCCUGGCGCUGCCCCGCGUACACGGGCAGGUUGUGCAGGCGGGAGCGGCGCACCAGGUAGGGCAGCUCCGGGGGGGGGUCUGGGAAAGGGGCACCCCCGGGGGGUAAUUAGCACCCCCGGGGGGUAA